rnacentral:rRNA from 1 species
AUUGAACGCUGGCGGAAUGCUUUACACAUGCAAGUCGAACGGCAGCACGGGGCAACCUGGUGGCGAGUGGCGAACGGGUGAGUAAUACAUCGGAACGUGCCCAAUCGUGGGGGGAUAACGUAGCGAAAGUUACGCUAAUACCGCAUACGAUCUACGGAUGAAAGCGGGGGAUCGCAAGACCUCGCGCGAAUGGAGCGGCCGAUGUCAGAUUAGGUAGUUGGUGGGGUAAAGGCUCACCAAGCCAACGAUCUGUAGCUGGUCUGAGAGGACGACCAGCCACACUGGAACUGAGACACGGUCCAGACUCCUACGGGAGGCAGCAGUGGGGAAUUUUGGACAAUGGGCGCAAGCCUGAUCCAGCCAUUCCGCGUGCAGGAUGAAGGCCUUCGGGUUGUAACUAGCUUUGUUACGGAACGAAACGGUAC